GGAGGGGGGGCUAGCGUUGUUCGGAGUUUACUGGGCGUAAAGCGCGCGUAGGCGGGGGGCUGGGUUAGUUGGGGGGGUGAAAUCCCGAGGCUUAACCUCGGAACUGCCCUCAAUACUGCCAGUCUUGAGUUCGAGAGAGGUAAGUGGAAUUCCUAGUGUAGAGGUGAAAUUCGUAGAUAUUAGGAAGAACACCAGUGGCGAAGGCGGCUUACUGGCUCGAUACUGACGCUGAGGCGAGAAAGCGUGGGGAGCAAACAGGAUUAGAUACCCUGGUAGUCCACGCCGUAAACGAUGGGUGCUAGUUGUCAGGCAGCAUGCUGUUUGGUGACGCAGCUAACGCGUUAAGCACCCCGCCUGGGGACUACGGUCGCAAGACUA
rnacentral:rRNA from 1 species